ensembl:lncRNA
ACAAAACGAAACCAGCCAAACAAAAAGAGCGAACAACAAAACAACUGAGUAUACAAGUGAAAUAAAAGAGGAGAAAAAUGAAAGGAAACAUUAAUGAAUGGGAAAAAAAAAAUACCACAGAAUAGUUGCCAUGUUUUCUGCUCUGCUUCAUCCUUUCUACUUGGAAAUGGCCAAUCACAACACUUGCCUGUGCCCUUCCCUUAUCUUGGUAGUGGAUAAGAGCUGGGAUGAAAGUCACUCACCUGGAAACCUCUCCUGGAAAUCAAACAGGUUUGAGUAGAGCAUUCAAUAGACUGCUUCUUGAGACACAGGUGGAAUUUCCACUUAGAAGUCUUGAUACCAAGAUUUUUAUUCUGAUCCCAUUGGUUUUUCUUCUCAGGCUGUUAAAACAUCAUCUUUCUUCAAAGUCUUAGAAAUAGAAUUCUCAACAAGGCUGAUUUUUAGAGAGAAUAAAAGCAACAAGGUGCUCUGAAGAGAGAAGCAGUAAAUGCUGUGUAACAGGUUUCCAGGUGGCUGCAUCAAAACCAGGAUUCAAUAGCCUAUAUUGCCCUGGAAAGACACCAGACGUGGUGAUGUGAUGUCAAUCCCUCCAGCUCACCUUUCUCCUGGGGGUCUGUGCAGCUCCCUCUGGUCCCUCAGCUGCUGGAGGUUACCUUGGAGUCUACAAACUCUCAACACCACGACUCACUCUAUAAAUGUAAGUGCAGGGGGGGCUUUGCCAUUUUUUAGCCUCUCUUUUGAGCUAUAUUUCUAGGAGGAAGGAAAAUGUAAUGGCACAGGACCAGCCACAGACAACUGAUGAACCCCUGUGGUUUUAAAAUGAGCACUGACAGAAAAGAUGUCUACUGCCUGGUGCAACCAGCUUUUCAGAUGUGAACUGGGGGAACUGGGAAGAUCUGUGGUUCCUUUUUGGAGCUGACUGGGGAGAGGCAGAGGGGAAGAACCAGUGUGACUGCUCCAAUCUAGGACUGUUCUACCUGCUGGCCUUCAAUAGGUGAGCUGAAGGAAAAUACUGCAACAGUCAUCAAUUGUAUUGUUUUCUAAACAAUGUGAAUCUCUUUUUCUUAUUUUUUAAUCUUUGAGAAUAAAAUAGGCUCCAGAACUCAGAAACCCAGGGCAAAAUCUGUCUCUGUAUGUAAGUGCUGGACUUGCCAUGUGCUCCUAUAGAUAGAUAUCUGUGUGGCUCCACAAACUCACUACCUUCCCUGGAGAGCUCUCAGUGUAUUUAAGUGAUCCAGAUGUGCUCCCUGGGAGCUGUGCCCCUGCUUCCAAGAAGGACUAAGAGACAGAGAUAGGUCUCAUUCUGCUUAAAUUCAGAUAUGUAACAUUUACU